rnacentral:rRNA from 1 species
UACGAAGGGGGCUAGCGUUGCUCGGAAUGACUGGGCGUAAAGGGCGCGUAGGCGGAUUGUACAGUCAGGCGUGAAAUUCCCGGGCUCAACCUGGGGGCUGCGCUUGAGACGUGCGAUCUUGAGUGGGGAAGAGGGUCGUGGAAUUCCCAGUGUAGAGGUGAAAUUUGUAGAUAUUGGGAAGAACACCGGUGGCGAAGGCGGCGACCUGGUCCUUGACUGACGCUGAGGCGCGAAAGCGUGGGGAGCAAACAGG